rnacentral:misc_RNA from 1 species
GAUGAAGAACGUAGCGAAAUGCGAUAAGUAGUGUGAAUUGCAGAAUUCAGUGAAUCAUCGAAUCUUUGAACGCACAUUGCGCCCCUUGGUAUCCCGAGGGGCAUGCCUGUUCGAGCGUCAUUUCACCACUCAAGCCUGGCUUGGUGUUGGGCGACGUCCUCUUUGGGGACGCGCCUCGAAACGCUCGGCGGCGUGGCACCGGCUUUAAGCGUAGCAGAAUCUUUCGCUUUGGGAGUCGGGGCCCCGUCUGCCGGAAGACCUGCUCGCAAGGUUGACCUCGGAUCAGGCAGGGAUACCCGCUGAACUUAAGCAUAUCAAUAAGCGGAGGA